rnacentral:rRNA from 1 species
GCCCAGAGCCUGAAUCAGUGUGUGUGUUAGUGGAAGCGUCUGGAAAGGCGCGCGAUACAGGGUGACAGCCCCGUACACAAAAAUGCACAUGCUGUGAGCUCGAUGAGUAGGGCGGGACACGUGGUAUCCUGUCUGAAUAUGGGGGGACCAUCCUCCAAGGCUAAAUACUCCUGACUGACCGAUAGUGAACCAGUACCGUGAGGGAAAGGCGAAAAGAACCCCGGCGAGGGGAGUGAAAAAGAACCUGAAACCGUGUACGUACAAGCAGUGGGAGCACAGAGCAAUCUGUGUGACUGCGUACCUUUUGUAUAAUGGGUCAGCGACUUAUAUUCUGUAGCAAGGUUAACCGAAUAGGGGAGCCGAAGGGAAACCGAGUCUUAACUGGGCGUUAAGUUGCAGGGUAUAGACCCGAAACCCGGUGAUCUAGCCAUGGGCAGGUUGAAGGUUGGGUAACACUAACUGGAGGACCGAACCGACUAAUGUUGAAAAAUUAGCGGAUGACUUGUGGCUGGGGGUGAAAGGCCAAUCAAACCGGGAGAUAGCUGGUUCUCCCCGAAAGCUAUUUAGGUAGCGCCUCGUGAAUUCAUCUCCGGGGGUAGAGCACUGUUUCGGCAAGGGGGUCAUCCCGACUUACCAACCCGAUGCAAACUGCGAAUACCGGAGAAUGUUAUCACGGGAGACACACGGCGGGUGCUAACGUCCGUCGUGAAGAGGGAAACAACCCAGACCGCCAGCUAAGGUCCCAAAGUCAUGGUUAAGUGGGAAACGAUGUGGGAAGGCCCAGACAGCCAGGAUGUUGGCUUAGAAGCAGCCAUCAUUUAAAGAAAGCGUAAUAGCUCACUGGUCGAGUCGGCCUGCGCGGAAGAUGUAACGGGGCUAAACCAUGCACCGAAGCUGCGGCAGCGACGCUGAUGCGUUGUUGGGUAGGGGAGCGUUCUGUAAGCCUGUGAAGGUGUGCUGUGAGGCAUGCUGGAGGUAUCAGAAGUGCGAAUGCUGACAUAAGUAACGAUAAAGCGGGUGAAAAGCCCGCUCGCCGGAAGACCAAGGGUUCCUGUCCAACGUUAAUCGGGGCAGGGUGAGUCGACCCCUAAGGCGAGGCCGAAAGGCGUAGUCGAUGGGAAACAGGUUAAUAUUCCUGUACUUGGUGUUACUGCGAAGGGGGGACGGAGAAGGCUAUGUUGGCCGGGCGACGGUUGUCCCGGUUUAAGCGUGUAGGCUGGUUUUCCAGGCAAAUCCGGAAAAUCAAGGCUGAGGCGUGAUGACGAGGCACUACGGUGCUGAAGCAACAAAUGCCCUGCUUCCAGGAAAAGCCUCUAAGCAUCAGGUAACAUCAAAUCGUACCCCAAACCGACACAGGUGGUCAGGUAGAGAAUACCAAGGCGCUUGAGAGAACUCGGGUGAAGGAACUAGGCAAAAUGGUGCCGUAACUUCGGGAGAAGG